UCAUUACAGAGUUUUCUAAACUCCCAACCCUAUGUGAACUUACCUUUGUUGCUUCGGCGGCGGAGGCUACCCUAUGGGGGAUACCACCCAGUGGUUACCCUGUAGUCCCGGGUGCUGAUUCGUUCCCAACGUUUCUCGUAAACGGUCAGUUACUUGGUGGCCCUCCCCGCCGGCGGCCAACUAAACUCUGUUUUUAUGGCAUUCUGAAUUAUAAACUUAAUAAGUUAAAACUUUCAACAACGGAUCUCUUGGUUCUGGCAUCGAUGAAGAACGCAGCGAAAUGCGAUAAGUAAUGUGAAUUGCAGAAUUCAGUGAAUCAUCGAAUCUUUGAACGCACAUUGCGCCCAUUAGCAUUCUAGUGGGCAUGCCUGUUCGAGCGUCAUUUCACCACUUAAGCCCUGUUGCUUGCCGGUUGGGGGCCUACGGCACUGCCCCGUAGCCCCCUAAAGUGAUUGGCGGAGUUGGUUCUCACUCUAGGCGUAGUAAAUCUAUCUCGCCUCUGUAGUGGUGCCGGCCCCUGCCGUAAAACCCCCUAUAUCAAAGGUUGACCUCGGAUCAGGUAGGAAUACCCGCUGAACUUAAGCAUACU
rnacentral:rRNA from 1 species